GACGAAUGCUGGCUGCGUGCUUAACACAUGCAAGUCGAGCGGCAGCGAGACUAGUAGCAAUACUAGUUGUCGGCGAGCGGCGGACGGGUGAGUAACACGGAGGAAUCUGCCAUUAAGCGGGGGAUAACCAAGGGAAACUUUGGCUAAUACCGCAUAAUCUCGAGAGAGCAAAGCUGCCCGCAAGGGUGGCACUUGAGGAGGAGCCUGCUUCCGAUUAGCUAGUUGGUGGGGUAAUGGCCUACCAAGGCGAUGAUCGGUAACUGGUCUGAGAGGACGGCCAGUCACACUGGGACUGAGACACGGCCCAGACUCCUACGGGAGGCAGCAGUGGGGAAUAUUGGACAAUGGGGGCAACCCUGAUCCAGCGAUGCCGCGUGAGUGAAGAAGGCCUUCGGGUCGUAAAGCUCUUUAGGUUGGGAAGAAGGGUAUUGGCUGAAUAAUCCAGUACUUUGACGGUACCGACAGAAUAAGCACCGGCAAACUCUGUGCCAGCCGCCGCCGUAAUAC
rnacentral:rRNA from 1 species